UCCAGCACUUUGGGAGGCCGAGGCGGGCGGAUCACCAGGUCAGGUGAUCGAGACCAUUCUGGCUAACACGGUGAAACCCCAUCUCUACUAAAAAUACAAAAACAAAAUUAGCCGGGCGUGGUGGCGGGCGCCUGUAGUCCCAGCUACUCGGGAGGCUGAGGCAGGAGAAUGGCGUGAACCCAGGAGGCGGAGUUUGCAGUGAGCCGAGAUUGCGCCACUGCACUCCAGCCUGGGCAACAGAGCGAGACUCCGUUAAAAAAAAAAAAAAAAAAAGAGAAGCAUUGUGCGCCGGGCUCAAACCGGCAUAAAACUGGGCAGAGCUAUGUAGUCAGCCACCCCUCCCCCACCCCCACCCCCACCCCCACCCCCACCGCCUUCGCGCCCGCUCGGCUCCGCACUCCCGGAUGCCUGGCAACAGUGAUGUGCUUUAGACCUUUUUUAGAAUGCGUACAAACGGAACCAUAUCUAAGUGAUGUCUGGCUUUUUUAACUUAGCACAAUGCUUUGAGAUUCAUACUAUUGGGUUUAAUUAGUAAUUCCUUUGUGUUACUGCUGAAUGGUAGUCUAUCGUAUGGGUAUGCCACAGUUUAUCCAUUCACCAAUUGAUGGGCCCGUCGGUUGUAGGGAACAGGAGAAAACUUCCCCUUUGCCCUCUGAAGGGUCACCGAAAAUCAACUGACAAGGCUGGGCCUGGGCUCCUGCCUGUAACCCCAGCCCUUUUUUAGGCCAAGAAAGGAGGAUCUCUUCUUUGUGAAGUGUGUAUUCAAAUCUUUUGACCAUUUAUUUAUUAGCUAGCUUGACUUUUUAUCUAAGAGUUCUUUAUAUAUUAUAUUUGAGUUCUUUGUAUGUUUCAUACCAUGUUCUUUAUUAGCUAUACGUUUUGAAAUGUUUUCUACCUGUCUGUGGCUUGCCUCUUCAUUUUAAGUGUCUUUUGAAGCACUGAAGUUUUAAAUUUUGAUGUAAUUUGUCCAUUUUUUCUUUUACAUAGUUCAUAUCUUUUUUUGUCCUACUUAAGACAUUUUUGCUAAAUUCAAGAUUAUAAGAUUUCAUCAUUUGUUACCUUCUAGAAGUUUUAUAAUUGUUGGUCUUCAUUAUAUUUAAAAUGAAUUAUUCUUUAUAGUAUUGAUAGAUGCUGGAGGCAGAUAAGGGAGGGUCCCUGGAGAAUCUCUGACCUGCCCCACAAGCUUUUGUGCAGCUGAGGAAGCCUCCCCAGGGUCUUGUCUGGGCAUGCCCACAAGGGACUUGGGGGCCCACCUGCACUGGGAGAGUGGGGUGCAGACAGAGGGAAUUCAGCCUUAUGCAGCAGGGAGGAGCAAGACAUCUUCAGCUUGUGUGUGUUGGCCUGUUAUUCAGUCUGCGAGCUGGGAGCCUGUUGGCAGGACCCUCCUUGUUUUUUUGCUGAGGGCUUUCUUUUAAUAAAUGCCACUCUUCACCUUUCAAUGUGUUCACAUGCCUAAUUGUUCCUGGUCAUGAGACAAGAACCUGGAUUUUAGCUGAGCUAAGGAGCAAAAAUUCCUGCGUCAGUAUGAGGAGUUGGAUUCUUUUGGUGCCCUUUGCAAUGAAUAAUGGCUAUGGCCUCUGGCAAGUGUUGUCUGCAAUAGCUGAAGAAUCCCAUGUUUUAUGGGGGAGUGCUUGCUGAUUCAUUUCACUACCAGGUCAAAGACACAAUCAAAAGCCUGACAAAUGGAAUUUGUGGAAUUGGAACGAAAAGGCACAAGAACAUCAAAUCAUAAAUCCUUCGAGUAUCAGCAAUGACAUCACUUAAGAGUUUCUCAGAAUCUUAGGCACCACCCCAGGCCUACUGGAUCAGAAUCUGAAUUUUUUAACAAGAUCUCAGAUCCUGAAUUCCAGCGGAAUGGCUGACACCAACUGGUCUGAAGACCCUCACCAAGGAACCAACUCAGCACAGGAAUGCAGUUUCUUCAUCUCCCCAUCCCUGACUUCACCCCUCACUUGUCAACUAAUCAGUGAUCACCACACUUUAGGCCAUCACCUGUGUCCAGACCCCUUAAAAAUCCCAUCCACAAACCUCUUGAAGAGGCGUAUUUGAGGUUUCCUCUCAUCUUCUCAUUUGGUUGCCCUACAGUUAUUAAACUCUUUCUCUGCUGCAACUCCUACUGUUUCAGCGUAUUGGUCUGUUACUGUGCAACAGGAAAUCAGACCUGGUGGUCCUAUAAUAAGAGUUCACAGAAUAUGAUAUACAAAGUGAUCUGUGAUAUACAAAAACCAGCACAAUCUCACUCUUAAUAAGAAAAAUUCAACUUAAAAUUAAAAGGUUUUUUUCCUCAGAAUGGCAAAGAUCAAAGUUUGAUAACAUGGUUGGAAAGUAUGCAGACCAAUAUUCUCAUAUUCAUUGAUGAAGUGUAAAUUGAUACAUCUUUUGUCAGUACGGACAGGUUUCCCAACUCUAGGGGUGAAAUUUUUACAGACUACAGUGUGAAUGACAACCACUUCAAAUUGGGUGACAUGAUGACCCUGACUCUGUGGAGGGUCAUUUGGCAAAAUAUCUCAAAAUAAAAAUGUACAUACAAUUUGA